rfam:Anaerosporobacter mobilis DSM 15930 genome assembly, contig: EJ17DRAFT_scaffold00002.2
UAGCGUAGUAGAAUUAGUACUUCUUAGUAUGUGCUUGACAACGUAGGAAGGCGAGGCAUGGACGCCGAGCCAACUUUCACCACGACAGGAUGUCGUGUUGAAAGUGAUUCCGUUCACUUUAAGCAACUAUAUGCACAUACUUAGAAGCACUUAUCUACGUAGCGU